GAUAAACGCUGGCGGCGUGCUUCAGGCAUGCAAGUCGAACGGACCUUCGGGUCAGUGGCGGACGGGUGAGUAACACGUAAGUAACCUGCCCAGAAGUGGGGAAUAACUAGCCGAAAGGCUGGCUAAUACCGCAUGUGAUGGUUGUUCCCUGGAGCAAUCAUGAAAGGCGAAAGUCGCUUCUGGAGGGGCUUGCGGCCGAUUAGCUAGUUGGUGGGGUAAUGGCCUACCAAGGCUUCGAUCGGUAGCUGGUCUGAGAGGACGGACAGCCACACGGGGACUGAGAUACGGCCCCGACUCCUACGGGAGGCAGCAGCUAGGAAUCUUGGGAAUGGGCGAAAGCCUGACCCAGCAACGCCGCGUGGGCGAUGAAGGCCUUCGGGUCGUAAAGCCCUUUUGCAGGGGACGAUGAUGACGGUACCCUGCGAAUAAGCCACGGCUAACUACGUGCCAGCAGCCGCGGUAA
rnacentral:rRNA from 1 species